rnacentral:lncRNA from 1 species
GUCACGAUUAACCGAUCCAUGUAUCGGACCCACGGCUAGAUCACACAUAGCUGUUGUCUUAACUCUCAACACAUCAAACAGGUCUACAGAUGACAUUAAAGUAGGAAGCAUAACAGUAACAGGUCAAGGUUCCGCCUGGAAUCAUCAGGUCAAGAGUCUUGAAAGCUGGGCGAUGCCUGUCCUGUCUUCGACAGAUUCAGUUCUUAGAGAGCUUUUGCAGUAUGAUGGAAUUCGUCACACUGUUGUCUCAGUCUCACAUGAAGUCGUCCUC